rnacentral:sRNA from 1 species
AUAUUCUUAUCGUUCGUCCUGUUCAUA